AGAGUUUGAUCAUGGCUCAGAACGAACGCUGGCGGCAUGCCUAACACAUGCAAGUCGAACGGGAUCCAGACUUCGGUCUGGUGAGAGUGGCGGACGGGUGAGUAACGCGUGGGAACCUGCCCAAUGGUCUGGGAUAACCGCGGGAAACUGCGGCUAAUACCGGAUAAGCCCGAGAGGGGAAAGAUUUAUCGCCGAUGGAGGGGCCCGCGUCCGAUUAGGUAGUUGGUGGGGUAAUGGCCUACCAAGCCUGCGAUCGGUAGCUGGUCUGAGAGGAUGAUCAGCCACACUGGGACUGAGAUACGGCCCAGACUCCUACGGGAGGCAGCAGUGGGGAAUAUUGGACAAUGGGGGCAACCCUGAUCCAGCAAUGCCGCGUGAGUGAUGAAGGCCUUAGGGUUGUAAAGCUCUUUUGCCAGGGACGAUGAUGACGGUACCUGGAGAAUAAGCCCCGGCUAACUUCGUGCCAGCAGCCGCGGUAAUACGAAGGGGGCGAGCGUUGUUCGGAAUUACUGGGCGUAAAGGGCGCGUAGGCGGCCGAUCAAGUCAGAUGUGAAAGUCCUGGGCUUAACCUGGGGACUGCAUUUGAUACUGAUUGGCUUGAAUUCGGGAGAGGAUAGCGGAAUUCCCAGUGUAGAGGUGAAAUUCGUAGAUAUUGGGAAGAACACCGGUGGCGAAGGCGGCUAUCUGGACCGACAUUGACGCUGAGGCGCGAAAGCGUGGGGAGCAAACAGGAUUAGAUACCCUAGUAGUCC
rnacentral:rRNA from 1 species